rnacentral:rRNA from 1 species
GGANUUGCGAAUGGGCGAAGCCUGACGCAGCAACGCCGCGUGGGGGAUGAAGCUUCUCGGAGUGUAAACCCCUUUCGACCCGGACGAAUGCCCGCAAGGGCUUGACGGUACGGGUAUAAGAAGCCCCGGCUAACUACGUGCCAGCAGCCGCGGUAAGACGUAGGGGGCCAGCGUUGCUCGGAAUUACUGGGCGUAAAGGGUCCGUAGGCGGUGUGGCAAGUCGGGAGUGAAAUCUCUGGGCUUAACUCAGAGGCUGCUUCCGAAACUGCUGUGCUAGAGUGUGAGAGAGGCGAGUGGAAUUACGGGUGUAGCGGUGAAAUGCGUAGAUAUCCGUAGGAACAUCCGAGGCGAAAGCGGCUCGCUGGAUCACAACUGACGCUGAGGGACGAAAGCUAGGGGAGCAAACAGGAUUAGAUACCCUGGUAGUCCUAGCCCUAAACCAUCAGGACUUGGGGUUUGCCCUGUACGGGGCAAGUCCCGUAGCUAACGCGUUAAGUCCUGCGCCUGGGGAGUACGGUCGCAAGACUGAAACUCAAAAAAAUUGACGGA